CUAAGAUGUAAUCCUUACCUGGAGUUCACAUUGGAAAAAAAUGGUCCUUAAAAUCAGCUCUAAGUGUCUUUUUCCAAGGGAGAUCUUAAUUCAAAAUUUUUAAUUUUACUGAAUGUUUGUGUUUCCACAAAAUUCAUAUGUUGAAACCCUAACCACUCCCCUCCCCCCACCCAACAUAUGAUGACAUUAGGAAGUGGAGCUAUUGGGAGGGAAUUUGGGUUGGAUGAAGUCAUGUGGGUGGAGCUCCUGUGACAGAAUUAGUGUCUUCAUGAGAAGGCAUGAGAAGGCGCUGCAGAGCUUACUCUCCCUCUCUCCACCCUGUGAGGGUAACAGCAAGAGGGCAGCAGGCUGCCAACCAGGAAGAGAAUCAAGAAUUGAAAUCUGCUGGAUGCCUGAUGUUGGACUUUCCAGCCUUCAGAAUUCUGGUAGAUUGCUGUUUGAUCCACCCGGUCUAUGAUAUCCUCCUACAGCAGGCCAAGCUGACUGGGAAAGGUAACAGAAACGACAUACCUAUCCUAGUGAAGCAUCCUUUUCCACGUCCUUAUCAAUGAUCUCAGGCAUUCAGGACUUUUCUAGAUCUUCUUGAAAGGAUCAAAGUUCUCGAAAAGUAGACUCUCUCACCUCUACAAGUCGUUGUAAACACCAUCAAAUUCUAGAUGUAUGCAUCUUCUUUAUGCAACAAGACAGAAAGGGAGCAGAACAGACCGUCAUUUAGGUAUCUGGGACUAAAAUUUUGACCUUUGCUUGUUAAUUUUCUUUCUUUGUUUUUUUUUUUUAAGAUUUUAUUUAUUUGUUCAUGAAAGACAGAGAGAGAGAGAGAGGCAGAGACACAGGCAGAGGGAGAAGUAGGCUCCCCACAAGGCACCCAAUGCAGGACUAAAUCCUGCAUCCCGGGAUCAGGACCUGAGGUGAAGGCAGACGCUCAACUGCUGAGCCAUCCAGGUGUCCCUAAUUUUAUUUAUUUGUUUUGCAACCUAGUAAUGUAACAACAGAAUGAGAAGAAAAAAGAACUACUUGGCCUUAGGAUUCCUGACGCAAACAUAACCUGUAUUUGGUGUCCAGGGGUGUACCUGUCUGACCUGGUCUAUUGGUACAGAACUGAUUUAUCCUGAGGGGCCAGGUCACUCACCCUGCAUAAGGCAACGACAUUUAAGAACAGAUUUAAAUUGCAAUCAGGUUAGGUUUAGAGGCUGGGCAACAGAGAACUGUUAGCUUUGUCAAAUCAGAGUACCCAAAGGCUCCAUGAAUGGAGCUGAGUAAAUCUCUUAGACUUGGUUCAUCAUGAAGAUGGCAGGAUACAGAAGCAUAUUUAUCAUUCCUAUGAAGUUGAUGCCCAGAAAUCCAACCUAAUUAAAUACUUUAUUUUUGCUUCCAAAUUCAACAUGGUUGAAUAGGUCUAGUCUUUGCCUGAAAAUCAUCUACUCUCUUCAAUUUGUUUUUUCCCCGGUACUCAGAGAUUUAACUCUUCCCUCAGAGAUUAAACCAUUUCCAAGUAUUUUGCAGCUUUUCAGCAUUCCGCACUAGUGUUUCUGACACAGGAUCCUUAAGUAU
ensembl:lncRNA